rnacentral:tRNA from 1 species
AGAAUUUUUAGUUUAAUAAGAAUAUAUUAUUUACACUAAUAUGGUAUAAAAUUCUUU